ensembl:lncRNA
GUAGAGGAGAGCCAACUGGAGAGGAAUCUGGCUGAUGAGAGUCUUGUCCGAGGGUCUGGGCCUCCCCGCAGCUCCCGCCCACGACUGCCAGGUGGAACGAGGGCUCCGCGUUGCCAGAUUGCCCAACCUUCCCACCCAGAGCUGGACUUCUGUUAAGCACGUCCGAUCGCCAAAGCCUCGCUCAGGCCAGAUGACCCUCGUCUGUGAGCCCGGUUCAGCCUGGCGAGUUAGCGGCUGCCCCGGUCUGCUUGCUCAGACAAGACCUUGGGGUGAGGCGGACCGAGUUUGGAUCUCCCCCCCCCCCCGCUUUCCGGGGUGGGCUCCCUCCCGCGCAAGUCGUUUAAUCUCGGAGCCUCUGUUUUCUUUAUCUGCGGAUCGCAACGGCCUAUCUCGCUGGGCUGCGGCGGGAUUAGAGAUAACCCUCCCCGGAAUCCUCCCGCAGGGAACCGGUCACCAGCACAUGGAGAGUUGCCGUUUGGGAAAAACAGGCUGACAUACAAGGAGACCAUCUUGGAAGCAUUAAUGCGCAGAGGCUACCGAUUAAUCGAUAAGUAAAUAUUUCUUGAGUGCUUAUAUGGAUAAAAGGCAGCGGAGUGCGGCGAUUAAGAGGGCCGGCUCUGGAGUCCGACGGGUCUGGGUUUGAAUCUUUGAUGCGCGCGCUGGCGAGCUGUGACCUUGGGCUGGUCCCUGAGCCACCACCCACCUCCGUUUCCUUGUGUGUGACAGGAGCAUGGUGUCAGUGCCCGCUCUGCGGGCCGGGCUGUCAGGCUCACUCAAGAUGACGCACUGAGCAUGCUUCUGGCAGCUUCUGGCAUGGGGAGCACGCUCAGGACAUGGCUGCUGACGUAGGGGAAGCCCUCCAGGCCUCCAGGCUCCGCGGGGAGGCCAGGAGACGGCAGGUUCCUGCCUGCAAAAGUCUAAAACGGAGCAAGAAGAGACCCAACACCAGCAUCACAGAAGGUGGGGCGAAAGCUUCAAGUUAGAAGCGGCUUGAUUCUGACUGUGGACGUGCCAAGAGGUUUGAGAGCAGGUCCAGGGAAAGCAGGGGCUGGAACAGGUGGACGGAGCGGGGAAAUAUCCUCUGAGCACCGGGUACAGGUUGGGCGCUUCUAGGGCAUCGCCAAGGGAUGUACUUUUCCAGACGCCCUCGUGUCUCUAGGGUAGUACCUCAGGGAUGAAGAGGGUGUCUGCCUGCGGGGGAGUCUGGACCCAAGACAAAGGGUGCUAGUGGGUGGCAUGGGUUGUGGAGGAGAGAGAGAGAUGAGGGGGCUUGGCCAGACUCAAAGGAGAACCGGAGCAGGCAGGGCAGGAAGAAAAGCCUGGAGGCAGCGGGAAGCGUGGGGGUAGCCGAGGUGAUGAAGAAGAGAGUCCUGACCAACAUUUCCCGGGACUCCCCUGCACGGGCUGCGUCUCCUGGGCUCUGCCCUGUCCUCGGUUCUCACCUCGCUUGCCCCGGCUUCUGAUUCUAGAGCCAAACAGAGGUGAGAACAGGCUGGGGCUUGGGCGACAGAGCGGGGGUGGGGCGAGGGGCACAUCAUUUAAAGGUUGCCAAAGAACUCAGUGAUCACUGUAAAUUAAACGUUAAAGAAAUACUUUUUAAGGGGCGCUUGGGUGGUUCAGUCGGUUGGGCGGCCGACUUUGGCUCAGGCCAUGAUCUCGCGGUCCGUGAGUUCGAGCCCCGCGUCGGGCUCUGUGCUGACCGCUUGGAGCCUGGAGCCUGUUUCAGAUUCUGUGUCUCCCUCUCUCUGACCCUCCCUCCCCUGUUCAUGCUCUGUCUCUCUCUGUCUCAAAAAUAAAUAAACAUUAAAAAAAUUUUUUUUUAAAUAA